UGGUGGAGUGAUUUGUCUGGUUAAUUCCGUUAACGAACGAGACCUCGACCUGCUAAAUAGUUUGGCGAAUUCUUCGGGAUACGUACAUAACUUCUCAGAGGGACUAUCGGUGUGUAGCCGUGUGGAAGUUCGAGGCAAUAACA
rnacentral:rRNA from 1 species